rnacentral:misc_RNA from 1 species
UAAUAAAAGUGAAUUUUUAUGGCACUUUUAAAACAAUCCAUAUCCACCUUGUGUGCAAUGUUUUUAUUAUACAUUUUCAACUCUUUUAAAUUUUUAUUUUGUCUGAAAUAUAUUAUGAAUAACUUAAUUCAAAAAUA